UUAGAGAGACCCUAAAACUGUGCGCCGAAUUGCACGAAUGGUGGAUGAAAGCAUCAUGCGAAAGCUUAAAGCUCACGUCAAUGCCAUAUGAGCAAUAGAACAGGCACUAUUGAGCAUUGCUCUCGGGAAAGAACGCACAGCUAUAGUAACGGCUCAUAUAUGCAUCUCUUUUGGUCGCACGCCGCAACGAAGACAGCGUCUUGGUUACAUCAAGUGAUGUGCAGUUUAUUUGCGGCGGCAGUGCCUGCAAGUUCCGUGUGAAGCUUUUUUUUAUGUUCGAUCCAAAGCGCAGGACUGUUUGGUUAGCUGGCUGUGCGUGUAGUUGUAGUGUGUGUGUGUAAUGUGUAAAGUGUAAUACAAAGUCUUCAUCGACUUGCGUUUGUUAAGUUUUUUCGUCCAACUGCGUGACAUACUCAUUAGUCCGAGUGAGCUGUUCUUCAAUAACAAAAGGGAUAAAUAAAUAGCUAAGCACAAAUAAUCAGAGCAAUCAUUUCGUGCGAUGAUAUAAA